rnacentral:rRNA from 1 species
CGCUAGCUACAGGCUUAACACAUGCAAGUCGAGGGGCAGCAUUUUAGUUUGCUUGCAAACUGAAGAUGGCGACCGGCGCACGGGUGAGUAACACGUAUCCAACCUGCCGAUAACUCCGGAAUAGCCUUUCGAAAGAAAGAUUAAUACCGGAUAGCAUACGAAUAUCGCAUGAUAUUUUUAUUAAAGAAUUUCGGUUAUCGAUGGGGAUGCGUUCCAUUAGUUUGUUGGCGGGGUAACGGCCCACCAAGACAACGAUGGAUAGGGGUUCUGAGAGGAAGGUCCCCCACAUUGGAACUGAGACACGGUCCAAACUCCUACGGGAGGCAGCAGUGAGGAAUAUUGGUCAAUGGGCGAGAGCCUGAACCAGCCAAGUAGCGUGAAGGAUGAAGGCUCUAUGGGUCGUAAACUUCUUUUAUAUGGGAAUAAAGUUUUCCACGUGUGGAAUUUUGUAUGUACCAUAUGAAUAAGGAUCGGCUAACUCCGUGCCAGCAGCCGCGGUAAUACGGAGGAUCCGAGCGUUAUCCGGAUUUAUUGGGUUUAAAGGGAGCGUAGGUGGAUUGUUAAGUCAGUUGUGAAAGUUUGCGGCUCAACCGUAAAAUUGCAGUUGAAACUGGCAGUCUUGAGUACAGUAGAGGUGGGCGGAAUUCGUGGUGUAGCGGUGAAAUGCUUAGAUAUCACGAAGAACUCCGAUUGCGAAGGCAGCUCACUAGACUGUCACUGACACUGAUGCUCGAAAGUGUGGGUAUCAAACAGGAUUAGAUACCCUGGUAGUCCACACAGUAAACGAUGAAUACUCGCUGUUUGCGAUAUACAGUAAGCGGCCAAGCGAAAGCAUUAAGUAUUCCACCUGGGGAGUACGCCGGCAACGGUGAAACUCAAAGGAAUUGACGGGGGCCCGCACAAGCGGAGGAACAUGUGGUUUAAUUCGAUGAUACGCGAGGAACCUUACCCGGGCUUAAAUUGCAACAGAAUAUAUUGGAAACAGUAUAGCCGUAAGGCUGUUGUGAAGGUGCUGCAUGGUUGUCGUCAGCUCGUGCCGUGAGGUGUCGGCUUAAGUGCCAUAACGAGCGCAACCCUUAUCUUUAGUUACUAACAGGUGAUGCUGAGGACUCUAGAGAGACUGCCGUCGUAAGAUGUGAGGAAGGUGGGGAUGACGUCAAAUCAGCACGGCCCUUACGUCCGGGGCUACACACGUGUUACAAUGGGGGGUACAGGAGGCGGCUACCUGGUGACAGGAUGCUAAUCCCAAAAACCUCUCUCAGUUCGGAUCGAAGUCUGCAACCCGACUUCGUGAAGCUGGAUUCGCUAGUAAUCGCGCAUCAGCCAUGGCGCGGUGAAUACGUUCCCGGGCCUUGUACACACCGCCCGUCAAGCCAUGAAAGCCGGGGGUACCUGAAGUACGUAACCGCAAGGAGCGUCCUAGGGUAAAACUGA